rnacentral:rRNA from 1 species
AUGAACGCUGGCGGCGUGCCUAAUACAUGCAAGUCGAGCGAACAGACGAGGAGCUUGCUCCUCUGACGUUCGCGGCGGACGGGUGAGUAACACGUGGAUAACCUACCUAUAAGACUGGGAUAACUUCGGGAAACCGGAGCUAAUACCGGAUAAUAUAUUGAACCGCAUGGUUCAAUAGUGAAAGACGGUUUUGCUGUCACUUAUAGAUGGAUCCGCGCCGCAUUAGCUAGUUGGUAAGGUAACGGCUUACCAAGGCAACGAUGCGUAGCCGACCUGAGAGGGUGCUCGGCCACACUGGAACUGAGACACGGUCCAGACUCCUACGGGAGGCAGCAGUAGGGAAUCUUCCGCAAUGGGCGACAGCCUGACGGAGCAACGCCGCGUGAGUGAUGAAGGUCUUCGGAUCGUAAAACUCUGUUAUUAGGGAAGAACAAAUGUGUAAGUAACUAUGCACGUCUUGACGGUACCUAAUCAGAAAGCCACGGCUAACUACGUG